CGAAAGCCUUGACGGAGCAAGACCGCGUGAGGGAGGAAGGCUCUAGGGUUUGUAACCUCUUUUAUCAGGGAAUAAGCAAUGAAGGUACCUGAGGAAAUCAGCAUCGGCUAACUCCGUGCCAGCAGCCGCGGUAAUACGGAGGAUGCAAGCGUUAUCCGGAAUCAUUGGGCGUAAAGCGUCCGCAGGUGGUAGUUCAAGUCGAUUGUCAAAGGCAGUAGCUUAACUACUGACAGGCAGUGGAAACUGAGUCACUAGAGUGCGGUAGGGGUAGAGGGAAUUCCCGGUGUAGCGGUGAAAUGCGUAGAGAUCGGGAAGAACACCAGUGGCGAAAGCGCUCUGCUGGACCAGCACUGACACUGAGGGACGAAAGCUAGGGGAGCG
rnacentral:rRNA from 1 species